rnacentral:rRNA from 1 species
CGGGUGAGUAACACGUAGGUAAUCUACCUUUGAGUGGGGAACAACUUAGGGAAACUUAAGCUAAUACCGCAUAAUGCAGAGAUAUCGAUGAUAUUUUUGUUAAAGGAGCAAUCCGCUUAAAGAGGAGCCUGCGGCAGAUUAGCUAGUUGGUAAGGUAAUGGCUUACCAAGGCUACGAUCUGUAACCGACCUGAGAGGGUGGUCGGUCACACUGACACUGAAUAACGGGUCAG